rfam:Triticum urartu cultivar G1812 contig1102413, whole genome shotgun sequence.
GUGACACGUAGGAAUUUUUUUGAAUUAUUGCUACGUUACCCAACAAAUGAUGCUCUCUUUCUAAAUGUAAAACAUUUUGACAGUUUAUAUUGAACUGCCAAGGGACCGUGGGGCUUAUGACUGGUUGUUGAAAUAAGCCCCGAAACAAAGAAAAAGGUGUGUGCCGCAUCCAUGAGGGACUGCUAGUGAGAUACUGAAGGAAGGUGGGGAUGACGUCAAGUCCGCACGGCCCUUAUGGGCUGGCCACACACGUGCUACAAUGACAAUGACAAUGGGAAGCAAGGCUGUAAGGCGGAGCGAAUCCGGAAAGAUUGCCUUAGUUUGGUUUGUUCUCUGCAACUCGGGAACAUGAAGUUGAA